GAGUUUGAUCGUGGCUCAGAUUGAACGCUGGCGGCAUGCCUUACACAUGCAAGUCGAACGGCAGCACGGGAGCUUGCUCCUGGUGGCGAGUGGCGAGCGGGUGAGUAAUGCAUCGGAACGUAUCCUGGAGUGGGGGAUAACGUAGCGAAAGUUACGCUAAUACCGCAUAUUCUGUGAGCAGGAAAGCGGGGGACCUUCGGGCCUCGCGCUCUUGGAGCGGCCGAUGUCGGAUUAGCUAGUUGGUGAGGUAAAGGCUCACCAAGGCGACGAUCCGUAGCAGGUCUGAGAGGAUGAUCUGCCACACUGGAACUGAGACACGGUCCAGACUCCUACGGGAGGCAGCAGUGGGGAAUUUUGGACAAUGGGGGCAACCCUGAUCCAGCCAUGCCGCGUGAGUGAAGAAGGCCUCGGUUGUAAGACGUCUUCGUCGAGGAAGGAAAGUUAGUACACCGGACCG
rnacentral:rRNA from 1 species